CUGCAGGAACAGGAUCCAAGGAAAAUGCCUGGCCUUCUAGGCCAGAGGAGGCAAACAAAGGCUUAGGCCUCAGAGCUAAGCUGGGACAGUGCUUAGAGUAAGGAAGAGCAGGGUUUCAAAUCAGAGCCCCAUGGCCCCUUCACAUUCUCUUGGUGCCUGGCUUAGCAGCUUCAUGGGGUUCAGCAGCAGCAUCUCUAGUAGACAGAUGGGAAACAAGACAGAGAGGGUUCCCUGAUCUCAGCCAAGGGGAGCAGAUAACCACGUUUACCAUGUGGCCCUGAUGCCCCUCUUAGAGGUCAAUUGGAAGGCUGGCAAUGGCAGGAAGCAGGUGCCUAGUCACUUAUGCUGGGGAAGUGGAAGGGGCCAUUUGUGGCAAAAGAUCCCAGGCUUCACUUCCAAGAUGCAAGCUCAAAGCUAAUAUGAUGAAUUUAAAGAUGGUGACAGGUUCUUGAGGGACCCCAUUAACUGCACAUCUGCUCUGGGAUAGGCAGAAAAGAAAACCACCCAUCAGGUAGGAGGGUAGGACUGGCCCUUUGAAUCAAAUGCAGCAUGUUCCAGACGGGCCCAAAAGGAAUUGGCAAAGCAGAUGUGUGGCCUGGUAGGAGGUGGGGUACCAAGCUAGGAGUAGCUUCUGAGGGUAAAAAGGAACUGUCUGUUGCUAGAGGAUGACACCAGUUUCUCUUUUCUCCAGCUAAAUAACAACAGGAGAAAAAAAGAGAAAAAGAACAGAAAAGAAAAAGAAAAAGAAAAAAAACCCAAACCUAAAAACCGUGCCUUCCCCUCCUUCCCCCACAUAUACUCAGUCAUCUUUGGCAAGAGAGCUUCCUGGCUGUUUUUGUAGACAUAUAUUUUCAGCAAAAGCAGUUAAGAUGUAUGGCUUCCUUGCGUGCUUUAGAUGACCACACCCUGGCCUGUUCACAGGACUGGCUCUCCCUCCCCUUCCCCUAAAUCCUGUUUGAAGUCAAUUCUGGGUAGGGGUGGUUUGGAGAAUAUACCCAGAGUUCCACAUGCUAAAACUAUAGUUUGCACAGAAAUCUGCAUUCCCCCCCCUCGCCCCAGGCUUGCUUAUGAAUCCUGGGCAAGUGGAUUGUCCCCCAAAUCUGGCAUUUUGUCAAGUUUCUCCAGGCUUUAGGUCAAUGCUAGAUACAGGGUGGUGCGUAGACAGUGUUAGUCAAAUAAAUGCAUGGAUAAGUAAGUGGACAGAGUGGAAACGAUCCUGAACACUCCAGUGACAGGGCCAGGAACCAAGAGAAUCUGGAGGAUGGGUCGAGUGGCUGGGGUCUAACCUCAGGACUAUCAUUACCUAGUUUUAUAACAUGGGCAGACCCAGGGCCCCCUCCUUUUCAUAAGUAAGAUAGCCCCAAGACUUUCCUUACUUGGUGAUUAAAAAAAAAAAAACAAGCAGGGUGGCCUCCUUGUGUGCUUUAGAUGACCACACCCUGGCCUGCACAGUAGGAUUCCAUGGGACAGCUGAGAGGGUGGAUUGCUUUUUUGCAUCCCAAGGUCAGGCCAGAGCCAGGGGCAUACUCAUCUUUGGCCAUGAAACCGUUUAGGUACAUUGGCUGCCUCAGGUAUCUGCCCUGUACUGCAUUGAGGUUGGUCUCACACUUAUUCAGAGUUAAGAACCCCAGGUUCAGCUAGGAAGGGAUGAGGAAGGUAGGCCUUAAGGGGUGGUGGACCCAGCAGGCUAGGUCGUACAAUCCUGUACAAGCUCACCCAAUCCAAAUGCUGGAGACAUCAGGCUGUUUCCUCUUGGCCAAUAAAAAUAGUCAGCACAGAGCUAUCUGUAUCCAGCCUAUCAUGAGGAAGAGCUCCCUAGUCAUUAUUCAGCAUCUGUCCAAUCAACAGUGUCGUGGCUGCCACGUCACCAAGGUCUUGGUAGGUGGCCUAGCCGUUGUCGCUAGGAGGAACAGUUGCCUCAGCACGUCUGCGCAGCUUUCCUUGCGGCGCCCCUCCGCGUGGUCUAUGAUGGUGCAUUUUGGUCCAGUCAGGCCCGGUGUGGUCGGCCUCAUUUUGGAUUACUUCGGUGGGCUUCUCCUCGGCGUGGUUACGGUCUAGUACACCUUAGUGUGCUUUUCUCUGCAUGGUCCUUCCCAGCGUGGCUCGUCUCAGCAGCGUGGUUUUCAUCCGUGUGAUCGUCCUCUGCAUGGUUUUUCACGGUGAGGUCAUAUCAGCCAGCCACCAGCCUCAGCAUAUUUGUCCACAGUUCUUUUGGAGCUGCCUCUGCUCGGAUCACUUGAGCACUACACCUCAGUCCCGACUAGCCAUCCUCAGUGUGCUUUGCUCAACGCGAUCCUCCUCAGUGUUUGUCCUGAGCCUAGACCUCCAUGGUGAGGUCUUAUCUUGUUUCGUCAUGGUGGUCGGCGAUAUGGUCCGAUCUGCCUCAGCAAUUGGGUCACUUCCGUGUGGAUCGUUUCAGCACGGAUCACUCCAGCGCGGUCGGCUGCCUUGGCGCGAUCCACUUGGCUUCUCAGCAUUUUUUUUUAGCCUGCUGGGUUCUCUCAGUUUUUCUUCAACACGCUUCUUUUCCCUCUGUGUGAUUCUACUUGGAGAGCUUUUCUGUUCAGCUUGGUUCCCAGCGCUUCUUUUUCUCGGCAUGGUUCUCCUAGGUAUGGUUUUUUUCUCAGCGCGGGUUUCUUCUCUGAGUCAGCACGGCACAAGUCGCAAGUCCGCGUGGCCGCGCUCAUCAUAGCCUCCCCCUCCUCGCGGCAAGCACUCACGGCCAGAAGCAGAGGUGAUUCGUGCCGCGCUUUCGCGGCUGGGCUCCAUCUUCGUUUUGCCGCAGUGGCUCCGUAUUCGUUUUGCAGUUACGGCUCGGUCCUCGUUUCACGGCCGGUCCUCGUUUCACGGCCGUGGCUCAGUUCUCGUAUUUUGCGUCCACGUCCCCAUCUUUGUGGCCCAGGCUUACAGAAGCAGGGGUGGUCUUGAGGCCCUUUGAGCCCCGAGGUCGGUCGAGUCCCAAGGUGAGUGGCCUAGGACACCGGCUCAGGCCUUCGGAUUCUAAACCCCGGGCCGAGUCAGAACGCACUGGAGCUGAAACCGAAUCGGGUCUGGAGACCCCUGAGCUUUGUAGCCCGGUGUGGCCAGCACCAAGGUAGUGAGUGGAGUACGUGUUGUUAUGUGGUAGCUGUUUUAAUGCUGAGAGUGAGGGGCUCCGUUCGGAAUGUUCGCGCAUGGUGGGGGAAGGGUAUCGUGGAACUGAGGCUGGGGAAGGCUGCUUAUUCGGAGUUUUGAACCGAGUUGUGAUCUAGCUCUUGGAUCCGAGUUGGGUGUGUGUAUGUGUGGGUCUACAGUGGUUCCGAGUCUAGAGUGGAGUCACGAUUGGAAUCGGGUAGAGAUUCGGGUCUGGAGCCGACUCGGAAUUCAGGUGUGGGGGAUUGGGAACUUGGGGUGGAGGCCGCAGUGGUUGCAGUGGGUUCUUAACCUUCCUUGUGCUUUGACCCUUUAAUACAGUUACUCAUGUUGUGGUGACCUCCAACCAUAAAAUUAAUUUCAUUGCUACCUCAUAACUGCAAUGUUGCUACUGUUAUGAGUCAUUAUGUAAAUACCUGUGUUUUCCGAUGGUCUUAGGCGAUCCCUAUGAAAGGGUUGUUCAAGCCUAAAGGGGUCACGACCCACACGUUGAGACCUGCAGAGUCAGAAUCAGGUCUGAAUUGGGGGAAUAGCAGAACUGGGAGUUACCUCCAGAUUUUCAGUUGGGAUUUGAUUCUUUUCUGUGGUUUUAAAUUGAGAUCCCAGAGGCUCAGGUCUCUGUUGGGGACCAGACUGAGGGUUUCUAGUUAUAUUCAGGACCUGACUGGGCAGUACAGUAAGAAUUAAAGUUGGUUUUGAGUGUGAGCAUAAUGGUCUGAGGUAGGGAUCAGGACUGAAGUAUAAAGAGUCUGGUUUUUAACAAGUGGGAAUCACAUUUUGAGACAUGGGGUCCCAUGUGGGUCAGAGUUGAUUUAAAGGACCAAGGCCAGGGCCCAAACCUUAGUCCUCCAUUUUGUUGUUCUUGUUGGUCACAUUCCCUUUUCUGUAAAAUGGGGAGGAGUGCUUUCCGCUGUAACCUUUCUGGGCAUAAAAGGGAGUAAGUAAUUCAUAGAGGUAAAAAUAGUCUUAUCUUAAAUGAUUAAAAAGUGUAAAAUAUUUCUCAAUAGUAAUAAGGACAAAUAAUAUGCAUUUAACAAUCUUUUCUCAUACCGUGUGCCCUUUGUUAGGCACUACCAAAAAGGAACCUUUUCUGUUCUGUUCCCUAGAGCUUGCCCCACCCAGCCAUGGGCCUAAUACACAGCCAUCCUCAGGCAAUACUUGCUGAAGGAAAGCAGGCAGGCAGGAUUAACCAGAUUUCUAUGGUGUCUUAAAUGAUCCAUUUCUGCACCUGUUUUCCAGAUACUAGGAGAAAAAUUUAAAGGAUUGGAUUGCUUGAUUAUAGUUCUAUUUUAAUGUGUUACCAAACACACUGAAGAAAAAAAGUGGAUCUGUUUUGGGAUUUGUGCUCCAGCUAGAAGGAUCUUUUAAAAUUUCGAAUCAGAGCAUGUCCAAAUUCAAAUAAGGAGAGCACAAAUAAAGAAAAUUAUGAGGCACUUCCCUGGUGAACAUAGAUGAAGGUCCACUUACAGUAUUAACUAACUGAAUCCAAGAGAAUUUUGAACAACAGUUCUUAGACAAGUAGGAUUUCUCCUUGGGAUAUAAAGAUGAUCCAAUAUCAGAAACUCUAUCCGUGUAAGUCACAGUAUUAAGAGACUGCAG
rnacentral:lncRNA from 1 species